GACAAUGAUGUAAUAAACCUAUUCCAUUGCUGAAUAAUCACAAUGUUGAAGAAUCCAAACUGAUGUU
rnacentral:snoRNA from 1 species